rnacentral:rRNA from 1 species
CCUACGGGAGGCAGCAGUGAGGAAUAUUGGUCAAUGGGCGCGAGCCUGAACCAGCCAAGUCGCGUGAGGGACUAAGGUCCUAUGGAUUGUAAACCUCUUUUGUCGGGGAGCAAAAGACGCCACGCGUGGCGUUCCGAGAGUACCCGAAGAAAAAGCAUCGGCGAACCCCGGGCCCGCAGCCGCGGUAAUUCGGAGGAUGCGAGCGUUAUCCGGAUUUAUUGGGGUUAAAGGGUGCGCAGGCGGAAGAUCAAGUCAGCGGUGAAAAUCGGGGGCUUAAACAUAGCAGUGCCGUUGAAACUGGGAGGCUGGAGUAUGUGUGAGGCAGGCGGAAUGCGUGGGGUAGCGGUGAAAUGCUUAGAUAUCACGCAGAACCCCGAUUGCGAAGGCAGCCUGCCAGGCCAUGACUGACGCUGAUGCACGAAAGCGUGGGGAUCAAACAGGAUUAGAUACCCGAGUAGUC